GCAACCGUAGGUCAGGCAGG
rnacentral:rRNA from 1 species